UUGACCUCGGAUCAGGUAGGGAUACCCGCUGAACUUAAGCAUAUCAAUAAGCGGAGGAAAAGAAACCAACAGGGAUUGCCUCAGUAACGGCGAGUGAAGCGGCAACAGCUCAAAUUUGAAAGCUGGCGUCUCCGACGUCCGCGUUGUAAUUUGUAGAGGAUGCUUCGGCGAGGACUCCUGCCUAAGUCCCCUGGAACGGGGCGUCACAGAGGGUGAGAAUCCCGUACGUGGCGGGCGGUCCGAGCCGUGUGAAGCUCCUUCGACGAGUCGAGUUGUUUGGGAAUGCAGCUCUAAAUGGGAGGUAAAUUUCUUCUAAAGCUAAAUACUGGCCAGAGACCGAUAGCGCACAAGUAGAGUGAUCGAAAGAUGAAAAGCACUUUGGAAAGAGAGUUAAAAAGUACGUGAAAUUGUUGAAAGGGAAGCGCUUGCAACCAGACUCGCCCGCAGUUGCUCAGCCGGCCUCUUGGCCGGCUCACUCCUCUGCGGUCGGGCCAGCAUCGGUUCGGGCGGCCGGACAAAGGCGUCGGGAACGUAGCACCCUUCGGGGUGUGUUAUAGCCCGUCGCGGAAUGCGGCCAGCCUGGACCGAGGAUCUCGCUUCGGCAAGGAUGCUGGCGUAAUGGUUGUAAGCGGCCCGUCUUGAAACACGGACCAAGGAGUCUAACAUCUAUGCGAGUGCUUGGGUGUCAAACCCGUGCGCGUAAUGAAAGUGAACGGAGGUGGGAACCCUUCUCGGGGCGCACCAUCGACCGAUCCUGAUGUCUUCGGAUGGAUUUGAGUAAGAGCAUGGCUGUUGGGACCCGAAAGAUGGUGAACUAUGCCUGAAUAGGGUGAAGCCAGAGGAAACUCUGGUGGAGGCUCGCAGCGGUUCUGACGUGCAAAUCGAUCGUCAAAUUUGGGUAUAGGGGCGAAAGACUAAUCGAACCAUCUAGUAGCUGGUUCCUGCC
rnacentral:rRNA from 1 species